UUGGCGGACGGGUGAGUAACGCGUGGAAAACCUGCCGUAUACUGGGGGAUAACACUUAGAAAUAGGUGCUAAUACCGCAUAAGCGCACAGCUUCGCAUGAAGCGGUGUGAAAAACUCUGGUGGUAUACGAUGGUUCCGCGUCUGAUUAGCUAGUUGGUGGGGUAAUGGCCUACCAAGGCAACGAUCAGUAGCCGGCCUGAGAGGGUGAACGGCCACAUUGGGACUGAGACACGGCCCAAACUCCUACGGGAGGCAGCAG
rnacentral:rRNA from 1 species